UACGGGGGGGGCAAGCGUUGUUCGGAAUUACUGGGCGUAAAGGGCUCGUAGGUGGCCAACUAAGUCAUACGUGAAAUCCCUCGGCUUAACCGGGGAACUGCGUCUGAUACUGGAUGGCUUGGAUUCGGGAGAGGAAUGCGGAAUUCCAGGUGUAGCGGUGAAAUGCGUAGAUAUCUGGAGGAACACCGGUGGCGAAGGCGGCAUUCUGGACCGAUAUUGACGCUGAGGAGCGAAAGCCAGGGGAGCAAACGGG
rnacentral:rRNA from 1 species